ensembl:lncRNA
CCCCACUGCCCCCUCACAAGUGUGCUUCAUCAAAGUCCUUCACGAUCCUGCUCUAUGGAUAACACACAGUUCUGACCCUUUUACGACUUCCUUCUCCUCCCAGCUUUCCUGAGGACUCGGGGGGGAAUAAGGCACCGAGUGUGCAGAGCAGCAAGGACUGAGAGGGAGUGAGGCUCAGCGUGUUAGCAGGCCCCCACAUCAGGAAAAACCACGAAUCCUCAGCCUCCAGCAGGGAGAUUGUUCUCAAUAGGUACGUGUUCAUUAUUCUGACCAAGCCUGUUCCCACCACGCCGGUUUCCUCUGUAGAAUUCAGCAGCUGGAACAUUUGUGCAGUAAAAAGGAACUGAGAGUAUCAGUGUCUGGGCUCGUGUGACAGCGGGGCGGGGAUGGUAAGCAGCGCAGUGACCCGGCGCUGGAGACGCACUGUGCACAGCAGACAUCAUGGCUGGGAGGGGAGACGGCCGGGCUACGGAUACGCGUUUGCCGGAGCACUGGAGGGAUGUGCGAGAAUGGAGCGUGGAGAAGAGACAGAGCCACCAAAAAAAAGAUGUGGGUUGCAGAUGUGGAAGCUGUCCUCAGGUCCAUGGAGAGACAGUUGAAUGCUUCACUGGAGAAAUAUCCUCGUACAAGCGCAGUCUGCCCAGAGCGUUGUCCUCCAUCUCCUUUGAACCGCGGCGGGUGUCUCUGCUGCCGACCAGCUGAUCCGGAGAGGCGCCUUAAGAUGGUCUGAAAUGAUUUGGAGGCAAGAGAAACGCUCAGCGAUCCCGUUUUCUUUGCAAACCUGAACCCUUCAAUCCCUCAUGCAAUGACCUGUCCUCAUAAGCCGUUUUUGCCAUUCAGCUGAGGAAAGUCAUUUCACACUUGAGUGUAUCUUUACUUAUCCGUCCCCUGAGCGCUGAAAAGUAGAUUUCAACUUGAGAUCUUCCCGCGAUGACUUCCAGCUUCAUGUUCUUAAUACUCUGCUAACGACUGACUAAUGAAUAAACAAGUCUCUCUGCGAC